rnacentral:rRNA from 1 species
UACAGAGGGUGCAAGCGUUGUUCGGAAUUAUUGGGCGUAAAGGGCGCGUAGGCGGUGCGGUAAGUCUGUAGUGAAAUCUCCUGGGCUCAACUCAGAGUCUGCUGCAGAAACUGCCGUGCUUUGAGUGUGGGGAGAGGUGAGUGGAAAUUCCCGGUGUAGCGGUGAAAUGCGUAGAUAGCGGGAGGAACACCCUGGUGGCGAAAGCGGCUCACUGGCCACAACUG